GAAUUUAAGAUUUAUCUAUCCCUGGCCUUUUCUUCUAAAUCUUUUCGGUGGGUGCCAAAAGCCAUUUCCCUUCUCGCCAUCCUCGCCAUUUAGAUUUGUUGACCAUAUCUUCGUUCCUCGGUGAUUCCCGUUCCAAUUUCCAGAGAGAACGAUGGCGAGGUCCGCCGCUCGGACUUCCGCUCCGACCACCCGAACCCAAACCCUAACCCUAGAAGAGACUUCCUCCUCCUCGUCUUCUUCUCAGCAGCGGCAGCAACAGCCCGAGACCGUGGUUCUCCAACUCCGGCGGCCUAAGAAGAAGGUAACGUGGAAGGAGGGGACCGUGGACAAUGAGUUCCUCAACCGGAAGAGAUCCAAGAAGUGCUGCAUCUUCGACAAACAGAAGCCUUUCGACGAGGACGGUAGCGACGAUGACGACGGCGGCAGCGGCGGUGGUCCCGCCGGGAAGGACGGGGCCGGCCCCAGUGGCUGCUGCUCCCAUGGAGGGGGGCAUUGAUCGGAGGGAUCCCUUGCCGCUGCGACCAUGUGCUUUUGGGACCGAAUUUUUUGUCCCUUUAAGGGAGCUACACAAUUGGAGGUUCAAUCCAGUACCAGGAAGCCUGUGUUUUGGUGAUUCCUUUUGUAAUUUUUUCUCUAGAUUGUGGAUACAAAGUUCCUUGCAUCAUGACAUUAUGUCGCGACGCUGAUACAAAGUUCCUUUCAUAACCUGACAUUUUAUGUGAUUUAGGGGGAAUUUUGUCCUGUUGAUGUACUUGUAAAACCUAUACCAUCUUACAGUGCAAGUGUAUGAUCUUCUAUUUUUUGAAAUGUGAGAGGAUGGCUACUCUUCUUUUAUUAAAAUUUUGAGUGUAAACAGUAAUUGUCUCUUGUGCAUGUGGUAGAAUUGCUUUCUGCACGAAACUAUUUUUGCACAAUAUGGAUAAAGCCGAAUGUUUCAGA